rnacentral:rRNA from 1 species
UAAAAAAAAUUAAGGAUAAACUAGGAUUAGAUACCCUAUUAUUUUAAAAAAUAAAUAAAAAUACUAGAUUAUUAAUAGUUAGUUACUUUAAAUUUAAAAAAUUUGGCGGUAGUUUAGUUCUGCUCAGAGGAACCUGUUUUUUAAUCGAUACUCCACGUAAAAUUUUACUUGUUUUCAUAUAGUUUGUAUACCAUCAUUUUUAGAUAAUUUUAAGAGGAUAAAUUAUUGAAAUAAAUUUAAUUGAGGAAAUUAGAUCAAGGUGCAGCUUAUAAAUAAGUUAAAAUGGGUUACAAUAGAUUAUAUUUAGACGGAAUAGAAGAUUAGGAAGGACUAUAAAAUAGGAAGGUGGAUUUGAUUGUAAUUUGAGAUUUAAUAAGAUUAGGAGAAAUAGGCUCUAAAUUAUGUACAUAUCGCCCGUCACUU